rnacentral:rRNA from 1 species
AUUGAACGCUGGCGGCAUGCCUUACACAUGCAAGUCGAACGGCAGCACGGGUGCUUGCCCCUGGUGGCGAGUGGCGAACGGGUGUGUAAUACAUCGGAACAUGUCCUGUAGUGGGGGAUAGCCCGGCGAAAGCCGGAUUAAUACCGCAUACGAACCACGGAUGAAAGCGGGGGACCUUCGGGCCUCGCGCUAUAGGGUUGGCCGAUGGCUGAUUAGCUAGUUGGUGGGGUAAAGGCCUACCAAGGCGACGAUCAGUAGCUGGUCUGAGAGGACGACCAGCCACACUGGGACUGAGACACGGCCCAGACUCCUACGGGAGGCAGCAGUGGGGAAUUUUGGACAAUGGGCGAAAGCCUGAUCCAGCAAUGCCGCGUGUGUGAAGAAGGCCUUCGGGUUGUAAAGCACUUUUGUCCGGAAAGAAAUCCUUGGCUCUAAUACAGUCGGGGGAUGACGGUACCGGAAGAAUAAGCACCGGCUAACUACGUG